CCUGGCGGCCGUAGCGCGGUGGUCCCACCUGACCCCAUGCCGAACUCAGAAGUGAAACGCCGUAGCGCCGAUGGUAGUGUGGGGU
rnacentral:rRNA from 17 species